GUUGUCUUCCGGUUUCCUAAAUGGGCAUUUUUCUUUUCCUCUCUCUCAAGGAAGUGGAAAUCCAGAAAGAGGAAGUGACUUGCCCAAGAAAACAGGUCAAGGACCCAGUAGUUCCAUGAUGCAAAUGAAUGGGCACUGGUGGAAGAAUCAGCCGCCUGGAGGAGAUCUCUCAUCACAUGAAGCCAGUGAGGAGAAGAGGGCUCAAACAUCACAGACCCUACUGUUCCUACUGAAAUUCAGUAGAUUUUUGUAAAUAAAUGUUUUUCAAUUUUC